rnacentral:rRNA from 1 species
GGGGAUAACUACUGGAAACGGUGGCUAAUACCGCAUAACGUCGCAAGACCAAAGAGGGGGACCUUCGGGCCUCUUGCCAUCAGAUGUGCCCAGAUGGGAUUAGCUAGUUGGUGAGGUAACGGCUCACCAAGGCGACGAUCCCUAGCUGGUCUGAGAGGAUGACCAGCCACACUGGAACUGAGACACGGUCCAGACUCCUACGGGAGGCAGCAGUGGGGAAUAUUGCACAAUGGGCGCAAGCCUGAUGCAGCCAUGCCGCGUGUAUGAAGAAGGCCUUCGGGUUGUAAAGUACUUUCAGCGGGGAGGAAGGUGUUGUGGUUAAUAACCGCAGCAAUUGACGUUACCCGCAGAAGAAGCACCGGCUAACUCCGUGCCAGCAGCCGCGGUAAUACGGAGGGUGCAAGCGUUAAUCGGAAUUACUGGGCGUAAAGCGCACGCAGGCGGUCUGUCAAGUCGGAUGUGAAAUCCCCGGGCUCAACCUGGGAACUGCAUUCGAAACUGGCAGGCUUGAGUCUUGUAGAGGGGGGUAGAAUUCCAGGUGUAGCGGUGAAAUGCGUAGAGAUCUGGAGGAAUACCGGUGGCGAAGGCGGCCCCCUGGACAAAGACUGACGCUCAGGUGCGAAAGCGUGGGGAGCAAACAGGAUUAGAUACCCUGGUAGUCCACGCCGUAAACGAUGUCUACUUGGAGGUUGUGCCCUUGAGGCGUGGCUUCCGGAGCUAACGCGUUAAGUAGACCGCCUGGGGAGUACGGCCGCAAGGUUAAAACUCAAAUGAAUUGACGGGGGCCCGCACAAGCGGUGGAGCAUGUGGUUUAAUUCGAUGCAACGCGAAGAACCUUACCUGGUCUUGACAUCCACGGAAGUUUUCAGAGAUGAGAAUGUGCCUUCGGGAACCGUGAGACAGGUGCUGCAUGGCUGUCGUCAGCUCGUGUUGUGAAAUGUUGGGUUAAGUCCCGCAACGAGCGCAACCCUUAUCCUUUGUUGCCAGCGGUCCGGCCGGGAACUCAAAGGAGACUGCCAGUGAUAAACUGGAGGAAGGUGGGGAUGACGUCAAGUCAUCAUGGCCCUUACGACCAGGGCUACACACGUGCUACAAUGGCGCAUACAAAGAGAAGCGACCUCGCGAGAGCAAGCGGACCUCAUAAAGUGCGUCGUAGUCCGGAUUGGAGUCUGCAACUCGACUCCAUGAAGUCGGAAUCGCUAGUAAUCGUGGAUCAGAAUGCCACGGUGAAUACGUUCCCGGGCCUUGUACACACCGCCCGUCACACCAUGGGAGUGGGUUGCAAAAGAAGUAGGUAGCUUAACCUUCGGGAGGGCGCUUACCACUUUGUGAUUCAUGACUGGGGUGAAGUCGUAACAAGGUAACCGUAGGGGAACCUGCGGUUGGAUCACCUCCUUACCUUAAAGAAGC